GCUCUGGCUGAAACAAAGUAGCCCGUUUGGGUAGUGGCUGGUCACAGUACUGUGAGACUCAGGCUCGUGCCCGCGUCGACCGAAAGCUUUCUUUUCCUUUGUCUGUUUACCUAAAAGGAUAUUCCCGGUCGGAAUAUUAUCGCUUUUUUACGAGAAAAAUGGCAUAAAAAUGGAUUUUAAACAGCGGUUGACAUGCUUCGAAGUACGGUAAUGGAAUAUUUAGAUUUUUUUUGUCACGAAUUGCGCCAUGCGCACGACCCUUAUUUACCAUUCGGAUAGUGUCUGGAACGCACAAACAAAACGCCGCUAUUCGGAUAUAACGAUGGAUUAUUUUGGACCAAACCAACAUUUGUUAUUGAAGUAGCAGUCCUGGGAGUGCAUUCUGACGAAGACAACAAAAGAUACAGAGAGCUGUGAAAGCCUGUAUGCAGAUGAGGUCCCAAAACAAUUGCUGACAAUUGCCAUGUAGGGCACUGCCUCGUGGGGGAAUUCAAGUAUGUGUGAAAGCUAUCUGUGUCCUGCAUAACUUCAUGAUAGACAUGAGGACCAGGAGGGGACCUGCAGCUCGCCACCAUCUGCCAUAGGAGAGGUCUGCUGCUCUGCAGGAUGUUCCAAAGAUCGGGGCCAACAACACAGCUCGGGAGACAAUCCGUAUGCAGGAGAUCUUCACCUCCUACUUCUUCUAAGAGGGUGAGGGUGCUGUUCAGAAUAAGGGGGAUGUCUAUACAAAAACAACAGGCGCUUAAGAGUCACCCAUAUUGAAUGUAGAACAACUAGACACCCUACAACCCAAACCUACAGUACACACUCGUGUAUCAAUCUUAUUGAUGGAUUGUGUUGUGCAGUAAGUAGGCUCCCCUGUAUAACUGUGGCUCCUUCCACCUUCAAAGAAUAGGCAAGAGGACCAACCAUGGAGAAUAAUAAGACACUCAAUUAUUUAUAUUUAUGCAUCAACGCUAUUUGUUUGUCCUUGUGUGCCUCGUCUGUUUUUCAGUAUAAAGUACUCUGCAGCCACUCCGUGUGGGACACCAGGUUAUAUCAGCUGUGUCGGUGAACCCCUCCAGCUUGUGAACUGCCUGACACAGAGGGCACAGCAUGAUCAGAGGUGAAAGGUCACUUGGUCAGGUCAACAGGAAGUAUUAUUAAAGAGAUGUUUACAUUGAAAUACAGAUAGAGAUGUAGUAGUCCCAGAGUUAAUGAUCCAAGGUCAGUUUUGCAUUCAAUUCCUGAUGAUUAUGAUGACUGACAGUGUUGGGAUUAAAAUAACACAAGGCUUAAUCAUGCUCUUUCUCUCAUUUGCAGGUACUGUAUGUUUUGAUGUGAGAGAGGAUGCCAACUCCCAGUCCUGUCAUUGCCACCUCACGGGCCUACUGGGUGCCCAAGGCUGGUUAGGAAACACCGCUAGACACUUAUGUAAUUGUGUUGACCUGAGAGAAUAUGAAGUUUAGUAGCACUAUAAUUCAUUCAUCAUAUGCUAUCUUCCCUGCUCCUCAGUUCUUAACUCUUCCCCUUUGUCUUUUACACUCUCACACCUCUCUCCCAAACUUCUUU
rnacentral:lncRNA from 1 species